rnacentral:rRNA from 1 species
CAAUAGCGUAUAUUAAAGUUGUUGCAGUUAGAACGCUCGUAGUCGGAUUUCGGGGCGGGCCGACCGGUCUGCCGAUGGGUAUGCACUGGUCGGCGCGUCCUUCCUUCCGGAGACCGUCCCUACUCUUAACUGAGCGGGGGCGGGAGACGGGACUUUUACUUUGAAAAAAUCAGAGUGUUUCAAGCAGGCAGCUCGCUCUUGCAUGGAUUAGCAUGGGAUAAUGAAAUAGGACUUUGGUGCUAUUUUGUUGGUUUCGAACACCGAAGUAAUGAUGAGAAGGGACAGUCAGGGGCACUCGUAUUCCGCCGAGAGAGGUGAAAUUCUCAGACCAGCGGAAGACGAACCACUGCGAAAGCAUUUGCCAGGGAUGUUUUCGCUGA